GAUGAACCCUUGCGGGAGGCCUAACACAUGCAAGCCGAGCGGUAUUGUUUCUUCGGAAAUGAGAGAGCGGCGUACGGGUGCGGAACACGUGUGCAACCUGCCUUUAUCUGGGGGAUAGCCUUUCGAAAGGAAGAUUAAUACUCCAUAAUAUAUUGAACGGCAUCGUUUAAUAUUGAAAGCUCCGGCGGAUAGAGAUGGGCACGCGCAAGAUUAGCUAGUUGGUGAGGUAACGGCUCACCAAGGCGAUGAUCUUUAGGGGGCCUGAGAGGGUGAUCCCCCACACUGGUACUGAGACACGGACCAGACUCCUACGGGAGGCAGCAGUGAGGAAUAUUGGUCAAUGGGUGCAAGCCUGAACCAGCCAUCCCGCGUGAAGGACGACUGCCCUAUGGGUUGUAAACUUCUUUUGUAUAGGGAUAAACCUACCCUCGUGAGGGUAGCUGAAGGUACUAUACGAAUAAGCACCGGCUAACUCCGUGCCAGCAGCCGCGGUAAUACGGAGGGUGCAAGCGUUAUCCGGAUUUAUUGGGUUUAAAGGGUCCGUAGGCGGACUUAUAAGUCAGUGGUGAAAGCCUGUCGCUUAACGAUAGAACUGCCAUUGAUACUGUAAGUCUUGAGUAUAUUUGAGGUAGCUGGAAUAAGUAGUGUAGCGGUGAAAUGCAUAGAUAUUACUUAGAACACCAAUUGCGAAGGCAGGUUACCAAGAUAUAACUGACGCUGAGGGACGAAAGCGUGGGGAGCGAACAGGAUUAGAUACCCUGGUAGUCCACGCCGUAAACGAUGCUAACUCGUUUUUGGGCCUUAGGGUUCAGAGACCAAGCGAAAGUGAUAAGUUAGGCACCUGGGGAGUACGCUCGCAAGAGUGUAACUCAAAGGAAUUGACGGGGGCCCGCACAAGCGGUGGAUUAUGUGGUUUAAUUCGAUGAUACGCGAGGAACCUUACCAAGACUUAAAUGGGAAUUGACAGCUUUAGAAAUAGAGCUUUCUUCGGACAAUUUUCAAGGUGCUGCAUGGUUGUCGUCAGCUCGUGCCGUGAGGUGUUAGGUUAAGUCCUGCAACGAGCGCAACCCCUGUCACUAGUUGCCAUCAUUCAGUUGGGGACUCUAGUGAGACUGCCUACGCAAGUAGAGAGGAAGGUGGGGAUGACGUCAAAUCAUCACGGCCCUUACGUCUUGGGCCACACACGUAAUACAAUGGCCGGUACAGAGGGCAGCUACACAGCGAUGUGAUGCAAAUCUCGAAAGCCGGUCUCAGUUCGGAUUGGAGUCUGCAACUCGACUCUAUGAAGCUGGAAUCGCUAGUAAUCGCGCAUCAGCCAUGGCGCGGUGGAUACGUUCCCGGGCCU
rnacentral:rRNA from 1 species